GUGCGUCAAGCAAAGGCUCUCGGAAACAAAGAGUGAAAGAAUGAUGGCAUCACCUUAAAUGCUUAAAUCACUAUGAUCACUUCUUGCUGGAUCUGUCCAAGAGUCAAUGAGUACAGGUGGACCAUGAAUGUUGGAAAAUAACUUUCAGUCAAGUUGAGACAAGAGCUCCAUUGAUGUUAUUGUUCUUUUCUAUUGGCAUUGAAUUGAUCAAACUGAACAUGUUCUAGAGAUACUGGAGAAAAGAUUUGAGUGCAGUACAGACUCAUUUUCAAUUGAAAGCAAUUAAAAGAAGCAGAGAUAAAUACAAUCAGGAUUGGGUAUGAAGCAAAUUUCCCAAUGGCAAAUAAUGUAUCACUGUUGGAAAUAGAAGUGAAACUGAAGGAUGAAGAUUCUCAUGAAAAUUUGAUCUAUCCAGUGAAAACAGCAUUAAGAGAACAAUAGUAUGGAUUAUAACUUGGCUGGACUGGACAUGGCACAAACAGAAAAUAAAUGUAUUGAAUUUUCAAUCCAAAUUAUGGAUAUUAGAUUAUUCAAGUGAGUUACCCAAGUCUGUCAAAUAACUUAGAGAAAGUACUUGAACUUGGCACGUGUGAUGGCACAGAAAUAGUAAAAAAAGAAGGAUGAUGGCUUCAACUCUGAAGGAACAUCCCAAACAUGUAAAACAUUUUACAAACAAACCUAAUCAAAGUUUAUAAAUGCUAGAUAAAUGUUUAAAAAAAGUAAGAUGCACAAGCAAAUUUAUUUACAUACUACAGAUAUUAGAACUAAUGACUAAUGGAAAAAAAACUACCUAUCUAGACUUAACAACAAAGAAAUAAGUAAAUAUAAUAUUUCAAACAUCUGCUGGAUCUUGUUAGUUUAAUAACAUACUAUGUAGGUGCAUUACAUAAAACAUGUAGUGGUUCUUGGUUGUUGAUUACGAUACUGUGCCUUUUUCAAAUACACAUUAGUUUUGUCAUAUGUUAAUUAUAAAUAUUUAUGUUCACCAUUAAUUAUUUCGUUCAGCUAUAGCAACAUAAGGGAGGCAUGGUGGCUAAGUGGUUAAGCAUUAGGCUUCCAGACCCGAAUUAAAAUCUCAGUGAAGAUUGGGAUUUUUAAGACACCCUAACUCAGAUGGAUACUGGUACCUGAUUUUAGCUGGGGAAAGUAAAGACAGUUGUUUAGCUAGCUACAUGACACCCUGCUUGUUAACCAUUAGCCAAAGAAACUGAUGGCCUUAACAUCAUCUGCCCUAUAGAUGCUAAGUUUGAAAGGGGAACUUUAAUUUUAUUACAACAUAAGGUUAUAAGUUGACAGUUACAGAUGAUGUACCAUAUGAGCAUCAUUGUUGUUUACUGGCUUUUGAAUAAUAGCUUGAAACAUUUGCUCUUACUUACAUAGAAUAUUCACUGUUAAAAAAUUAUGAAUAUGAUAGUGCAGCUAGUUACUCUGCUCAAAAUUGAAAAAAAUAUUUUGUUGAAAUUAUAAACAUGAGCUACCGGUAUAUAUAAAUGUAUAGUUUUCAUUGUUGAGCACACACUUUUUCUUUGGUACUGGGUAAUGUACAUGACCUACAUUUUUUUGAAAUAUUAUCAUCUAACAUUAGGCGAGGUCUUGAGAAUAUUUACCUCGAACAGACUCAGCUUUGGGUUUUUGUGCAUGUAGACCCUAUUGAUUAAAAAGCACCAUUCUCUAAUUAUAUUUUACUUGUUUAAAUUUAUAUAUUUAUGGUUAUUAAUUAUUCUUUGUAUUUAUUUUUUAAAUUUUUUUUUGUAAAGUAAGCACUGGUAUUUUUCUAAAAGUAUGUUUCACAUUUAUUUCAUUUUAAACAAAUUAAGUCAUUUACUUAAUGUUCAAUUAUGUUCUAAAUGUAUGUUUUUAAAAUUUCAGUGUUUAUAUUGCUAACAUUUCACAAACUUGUUACAGGUAGCUUAUUUUUGUUUUGGUCAUUUUUUCUUUAGAACUACCGGUACAACAUAAUCUGAUGUUAAUUUUUUUUUUAAAAUUUGGUUCAUGAUUGUCAAAACAGUUUGCUUUUCAAUUUACAUACAGCAG